CCAAUAGCGUAUAUUAAAGUUGUUGCAGUUAAAAAGCUCGUAGUUGAAUUUUAGGCCUGGCCGGACGGUCCGUCUCUGGCGAGUACUGUUCUGUCGUCGGGUCUAUCCUUCUGGUGAGCCGGUAUGUUCUUAAUUGAGCGUGCCGGGGAGCCAGGACCAUUACCUUGAAAAAAUUAGAGUGUUUAAAGCAGGCUUUUGCUUGAAUAGGUUAGCAUGGAAUAAUAGAAUAGGACGUUGUGGUUCUAUUUUGUUGGUUCAAGGACCACCGUAAUGAUUAAUAGGGAUAGUUGGGGGCAUUAGUAUUCAAUUGUCAGAGGUGAAAUUCUUGGAUUUAUUGAAGACUAACUACUGCGAAAGCAUUUGCCAAGGAUGUUUUCAUUAAUCAAGAACGAAAGUUAGGGGAUCGAAGACGAUCAGAUACCGUCGUAGUCUUAACCAUAAACUAUGCCGACUAGGAAUCGGGCGACGUUAUUUUUACGACUCGCUCGGCGCCUUAUG
rnacentral:rRNA from 1 species